CCAUUCCAGGAUUCCACGAACCAGUCCCUGCCUACAGUCCCCACCAAACACCCCAGGACAUUUUACAUGUGUCCCAGGCUGCUGGCUGAGCUCAGAGCAAAGCCAGGGCAGGGAUCAGAGCUGCUGGGGUUAUUCAAACACAGGAGAGCCUCAGCCAAGGAUCCAGUCACCUCCCGUCACCCACUGUGUACACAGGGCUUUGGAAACCACGUUUCCUUGUUGCCACAGGUCAAAGACUCCACGGGAGGCUUUCCCCGAAACUCUGCUCUUCCAGCUGCAAAACCAAGGAGGGCUGAAGCCCCCCCACAGCAGGGACCCCCAAGGAAAGCCCCUUUCCAGGCUCCUGGAUUGCCACUGCUGCUGCAGGGCCAACCUGGGCGAGUGUGAGAGCUGCUGUCACCAGGGGGAAUGUGAAAUGCCAUUUUCAGCCAGAUUGCUGCACUGCUUGGGAACAAUGCAGAGAGAAGUGAGUGGACCUGGGUAACUCAGGUGUUUGGAUUCUUCCUUCAGGGAUGGGCUGUUUUUCCCAAGGUGCUAACAGAGAGUCUCCCUUUCAAGUGACAUUGUCUGCACAGGACACUUCCCUCCAGGUUUCCACAUCAGCUCACAGAAGGACUAUGGAAACAACACAUCUAAGGCAUCUUUAGGCAGUUAAACACCACACAGAAAAUCAAUUUGUACCCCAACACCUGCCAAAUUCCACUGUGAAGACACAAACCUGAUAUAACCAAAGGGUGUACACAGCUAACAUCAUCAGACAUUCAGUUCAGAAUUCACAAAUGAAACACCUCUGCCUUCAAUUUAGGCACUCCAGAAACAAACAGCCACUGGUCCCACUGGUGGGAAACACUUCCAAAAUCUGCACGUGCAUGCUUCCUACUCAACUUGGUGAUAACUCCUCUUGAAGGCCCCAAAACUGCACAAUCAGACCAGCAACCAAUACUAAUUACUAAAUUACUAAUUAUUAAAAACACGAGUUGCUGGAGCAGGAGCCACUGUGUGCCCGCUGACUUUUUAACUAUGACGUUGACUAUUUUUAACUUUGAGAAUUGAAAUAAACCUUCCCAACGAACUCCAAAGGCAAGGAAUGUCAUGUGAUCCCAGCAAGGAUCUGCCAAGCAGUGCCAAAAUACACCCCAGCCACAGCAGCAAACCCAUGUGGCCUCCCAGGGCCAGGGUAUGCCAUGGGAAGGGACAACAUUAACUGUCACACAGUGCCCCAAAAAUCCAGCAAAAUGUCAACUUGAGGCCCUUGAGAGGUUUUAGGAAAUAAUUUUCUUGACACUUAGUUGUCACAAAGGUAUUUUUUUUUUCACUUUAAGUUUCCCAAGCCUUGCAUAAGAGAGUGUUUUUGCAUGUUGUAGUCUGAGGUGCAAUUUGUGGGUGAUGUUUCAACACAGAUGAGGAAGCACAUGGGGGUGAACUUACACCCAGCACUAAGAUCUACACUGACACUCCACGUUCUCUGAGCUGCAUUUCCAGUGAUUUAAGGGAUUUGUAGGAAACACAAAAGUCAGAUCCAGUUCAAACCCCUCAAAAUAUUUUUCUUUUUUAUCCAGAUGUGUGUAUCUGCAUGUGUUACACCAGUGGGUGCUGCAAGAAAGCUGAGACAGGAAUUACCCUUAAUUUUCAGAGCCAGUCACCAAGAAGGUGAGAAGCUGCUGACCUGAACUCUUCAUCUGCAAAACAAGAUGUUCAGGAGAGGGCAAACGAAGAAGCCCUGGGAUGGAAAGAUUUUGGGUACCAGGCCUGUCCCGUGGCACAGACUGCCCGGAAAAGGCAAAGACACAUCCCCCUUUCAUGAUGUCACAGCAGCUCUACCUCGGUCAGGAGGUGCUCUGCGAGGAAGGGCUGGAGUCAGCUUUGCCGAGGGGGGGGAAGGACAGCUUUGUCGGGUGAGAAAAGAGACCCCACCCACGAGCGCGAUGGUUUCUGAGGCACAUCCAUAGCGGUGCAAACACGGCCGGGGGGAUCCCACCGCGCUGCCGCCGCCCGCGGCCACGGGGAUUAACGCUGAUGGAAGGGGCCAGGGAAGAAAACUUUCUUGCAAGAGCCAGGCUGUGGCACCAGCACUGAAGGCACUGGAAACGCUGCAAAUGCCCCGUCACAGGUUUUGCACAGACCCAGUUCUCCUCUCACGUUGAAUCCUGAGCUGCCCAAUGGUGUGAUCCAGCACACUGCCAACUGCAAUUUGCUGUCAUAAUUACAUAUUCUGCUGUCUGUAA